rnacentral:rRNA from 1 species
UACGUAGGUGGCGAGCGUUGUCCGGAUUUAUUGGGCGUAAAGGGUGCGCAGGUGGUGCGGUAAGACUGCCGUGAAAUCUCCCGGCUCAACUGGGAGGGGCGGUGGAGACUGCCGGACUAGAGGCACUCAGAGGCCGGUGGAAUUCCCGGUGUAGUGGUGAAAUGCGUAGAGAUCGGGAGGAACACCCAGUGGCGGAAGGCGGCCGGCUGGGGGUGACCUGACGGCUG